CAUUGGGCAAGGUCUCAUAUGAUACUAAUUUUCACCAUUGUUGACACCGAGUCACACUAAUAUUUGCACUAUAGUCUUCCUAUAAGCCUGCAACCUAAUCAACUUAAAUGGUAGAGGGUUUUUCUAUUACGUAUCAUUUGUUUUAUAGAUGGUGUCAGUCCACGUUCUCCUCCUCCUCCUCCUCCUCCUCCUCCUCCUCAGAGAAGUGUAUCAUUCAAAAUUGAAGGAGAGGAUUUUACUGAUGAUCAUGAGCCUAGUGUCACUCCUCCUAGUGGUCCCUUCCCUUCAUUGUCUCAUUCUUCGUUUGUGGAGCAAGAAACGACUGAAGCUGUAGUCUCUGACCCCCCACUGCCUGAAGGAGACAUUACUAUACCAACUCCUUUUGGUCCAAUGAUUAUACCAAUUCAUGCUUUUACUACAUUUUCUACCCGUCAUCCCUGGCUGGCUAGAGGCAGCUUACUUAUUGCAGCUGGGCUAUUAGCUUAUGGUGGGUUUAGAAU